rnacentral:misc_RNA from 1 species
UUUCCGUAGGUGAACCUGCGGAAGGAUCAUUACCGAGUUGCAAAACUCCCAAACCAUUGUGAACGUUACCUAUCCCGUUGCUUCGGCGGGCGGCCCGGGCCCCGCGCCCGGCGCCCCCCGGCCCCCCGUGGGCGCCCGCCGGAGGUAAACCAAACCCUUGAAUUGCAUGGCCUCUCUGAGUCUUCUGUACUGAAUAAGUCAAAACUUUCAACAACGGAUCUCUUGGUUCUG